CGAAUCGGCAAAAAAUGCAAAAUAGCCCUUUAACCGUACAUUUUACAGAUACGCGCGCAUUGACUUUUUCGUAGAUCUUAUUGAGAUACAUGUGAUUGUCAAAUUUUGUGUCAAUAUGACAAAGCGUACAGGUAUGACAGUCAACAAUGUGUUUUUUCACCUUAUGGGACAAGAAAAAAUGGACUUUUUUCUCCUGCCAUGGGGGGGCGCUCUUUUGGGGAGUAAAAAUUCCUUCACAAAUGUGUUGAUGGCUGGACAUUGCAUCAUCCUAGAAAACUUGGAGGCCAGUGAGGACAAAAAUAAAAAGUUAUAAGACUUUGAAAUAUGUGGAUUUUAGGGUUAUCUUUGGCGCCCCCUAGAACCUAAACCGUGGGGUGCAGCGUCAUGAUUUGAAUAACUUUUAAUGACCAUGGGGUGUAGAUUGGCCUGAGCAAAUGUGGUGCCGGUGGAACGCCAGCCUUAGGAGGAGUUAGCGAAAUUCCAAUGUGUGCGGAUCAGCAAAAAAUGCGGAAUAACCCUUUAACCGUGCAUUUGACAGAUACGCGCGCAUUGACUUUUUCGUAGAUCUUAUUGAGAUACAUGUGUGUGUCAAAUUUUGUGUCAAUAUGACAAAGCGUACAGGCGUGACACUCAACAAUGUGUAUUUUCACCUUAGGGGACAAGAAAAAAUGGACUUUUUUCUCCUGCCAUGGGGGGGCGCUCUUUUGGGGAUUAAAAAUUCCUUCACAAAUGUGUUGAUGGCUGGACAUUGCAUCAUCCUAGAAAACUUGGAGGCCAGUGAGGUCAAAAAUAAAAAGUUAUAAGACUUUUAAAUAUGUGGAUUUUAGGGUUAUCUUUGGCGCCCCCUAGAACCUAAACCGUGGGGUGCAGCGUCAUGAUUUGAAUAACUUUUAAUGGCCAAUGGGUGUAGAUUGGCCUGAGCAAAUGUGGUGCCGGUGGAACGAAAGCCUUCGGAGGAGUUAGCGAAAUUCCAAUGUGUGCGGGUCGGCAAAAAAUGCGCAAUAACCCUUUAACCGUACAUUUGACAGAUACGCCCACACUGACUUUUUUGUAGAUCUUAUUGAGAUACAUGUGUGUGUCAAUUUUUGUGUCAAUAUGACAAAGCGUGAAGGCGUGACAGUCAAUAGUGUGAAUUUUCACCUUAGGGGGCGCUAUGGAGCCAUUUUGCAUUUUCUUGUUUGGGCGACUUCGGAAUAUCAAAUUUUUCACCAGGCCCGGUCAUCCUGCCAAAUUUCAUGAGUUUUCGCCAGUGGGAAGUGGGCCAUUUUCCAGUUCAAAGGGGAGGAAAAAUAAUAAUAACAAAAGAAGGAAACUACAGGAACAAGAGGGCUCUCGCAGCUGCUUAGCAGCUACGCUCGGGCCCUAACUAGGGCCCCGUUGGGGCACUGGCGGGCCCCCCCCCCCCGCCCCCCCAACGCGCUGCCUCCCCGUCCCAUUCGCGUCCUCUGGCCAUCGCCCUCUCUGGUAACGCCCAUCACUGCAAAGACCCUUUUCCUUCAUCGGCGUUUGCUGUUCUUCCUGCCAGUGUGUGUUGCUUUCACUUGCACUUGCCACAGCCAGCCUCGUGAGUGCCUAGCCUAUUGGAUAUCACUGUCACCUACACAGGACAGUCAUUACCUUUCUAUUAAUACUUUGUUUUUUAAUUUCACAUUAAUUUCCAUAUUGUCUAAACGACUGGAAAAAACUUGAGCCCCUGCCCCUGUAUAAUCAUGUGCAUGUCUCUGUUCUAGCUCCAAGGUGAAUCUUCACUGCUCAUGUUCUCCUCAGAAGCAGUCACCUCACUCAGGUUACUGUACACAUGCACCAACUGCCUGCUACAGGUUUGGAUGGAGCUUCAUGGUUGUCUUUUGGAGAAAUGAGCAGUCAAGUUGUGUUUGAAAUUUCAUUUUUUUCAGGGGCAAAAGGAAGCCUCUGCAUUGUUGUCAAAUAUGUAAAUAGCAUGUUUUUGCAGAUGCUAAAAAACAGACUCUGAGUGUGUGUGUGUGUGUGUGUGUGUGUGUGUGUGUGUGUGUGUGUGUGUGUGUGUGCGUGUGUGUGUGUGUCUGUGUGUGUGUGUGUGUGUGUCUGUGUGUGUGUGUGUAUCCUGCAGUACUCUGUACUCCUGCAGUGGCCAAAACGACUUUUAAGAAUGUGGAUAUUUGGGUCAUCUUUGGCGCCCCCUAGAACGUAAACCAUGGGGUGCAGCGGCAUGAUUUUUACAACUUUGAAUGGCCAUGGGGUGUAGAUUGGCCUGAGCAAAUUUGGUGUCAGUGGGACGAAAGCCUUAGGAGGAGUUAGCCACAUUCCAAUGUGUGCGAAUCGGCAAAAAAUGCAAAAUAGCCCUUUAGCCGUACAUUUUACAGAUACGUGCGCAUUGACUUUUUCGUAGAUCUUAUUGAGAUACACGUGAUUGUUAAAUUUUGUGUCACUAUGACAAAGCAUACAGGCGUGACACUCGACAAUGUGUAUUUUCACCUUCGGAGACAAGAAAAAAUGGACCUUUUUCUCCUGCCAUUGGGGGGCGCUCUUUUGGGGAGUAAAAAUUCCUUCACAAAUGUGUUGAUGGCUGGACAUUGCAUCAUCCUAGAAAACUUGGAGGCCAGUGAGGACAAAAGUAAAAAGUUAUAAGACUUUUAAGAAUGUGGAUUUUUGGGUUAUCUUUGGCGCCCCCUAGAACGUAAACCGUGGGGUGCAGCGUCAUGAUUUGUACAACUUUUAAUGGCCAUGGGGGGUAGAUUGGCCUGCGCAAAUGUGGUGCCGGUCGAACGAAAGCCUUCGGAGGAGUUAGCGAAAUUCCAAUGUGUGCGGAUCGGCAAAAAAUGCGAAAUAACCCUUUAACCGUACAUUUGACAGAUACGCCCGCACUGACUUUUUUGUAGAUCUUAUUGAGAUACAUGUGUGUGUCAAUUUUUGUGUCAAUAUGACAAAGCGUACAGCCGUCAUGUGAAUUUUCACCUUAGGGGGCGCUAUGGAGCCAUUUUGCAAUUUAUUGUUUGGGCGACUUCAGAAUAUCGAAUUUUUCACCAGGCCCGGUCGUCCUGCCAAAUUUCCUGAGUUUUCGCCAGUGGGAAGUGGGCCAUUUUCCAGUUUAAAGCGGAGGAAAAAUAAUAACGAAAGAAGGAAACAUGCAGGAACAAGAGGGCUCUCGCAGCUGCUUAGCAGCUACGCUCGGGCCCUAACUAGGGCCCCGGUGGGGCACUGUCGGGCCCGAGCCGCGUCGCGCCGCCCCCAGCGCGACUGCCUCCCCCUCCCGAUCGCGUCACACUCAAGGUCCAAAGAUGGUGUGCGCACUUGUCUGUGGUCAUUUCCCAUUAUAAUGAAUGGGAGGCGCAGUUUCUACCAAAACGCUCGCUGCAGACAAACUACAUGUCCUAUUUGAAAAAAGUCUGGACCAUGAGUGAGGGCACAAACACAGCUAGUAUAUAUCCAAAUGGCAAGUUGCUCCUCCUUUCGGUUUUGCAGAGAGAGCGAUGCGUUUGAGCCAUUGAGCGAUGGGCAGGAAAAACUUGACUUUUUCUCCUGCCAUGGGGGGCGCUCUUUUGGGGAGAAAAAUUCCUUCACAAAUGUGUUGAUGGCUGGACAUUGCAUCAUCCUAGAAAACUUGGAGGCCAGUGAGGACAAAAAUAAAAAGUUAUAAGACUUUUAAAAAUGUGGAUAUUUGGGUCCUCUUUGGCGCCCCCUAGAACGUAAACUGUGGGGUGCAGCGUCAUGAUUUGUACAACUUUGAAUGGCCAUGGGGUGUAGAUUGACCUGAGCAAAUUUGAAGCCGAUGGGACAAAAGAUUUAGGAGGAGUUAGCGAAAUUCCAAUGUGUGCGGAUCGGCAAAAAAUGCGAAAUAACCCUUUAACCGUACAUUUGACAGAUACGCCCGCACUGACUUUUUUGUAGAUCUUAUUGAGAUACAUGUGUGUGUCAAAUUUUGUGUCAUUUUGACAAAGCGUAAAGGCGUGACAGUCAACAAUGUGUAUUUUCGCCUUAGGAGACAAGAAAAAAUGGACUUUUUUCUCCUGCCAUGGGGGGGCGCUCUUUUGGCGAGUAAAAAUUCCUUCACAAAUGUGUUGAUGGCUGGACAUUGCAUCAUCCUAGAGAACUUGGAGGCCAGUGAGGACAAAAAUAAAAAGUUAUAAGACUUUUAAGACUGUGGAUUUUUGGGUUAUCUUUGGCGCCCCCUAGAACGUAAACCGUGGGGUGCAGCGUCAUGAUUUGUACAACUUUUAAUGGCCAUGGGGUGUAGAUUGGCCUCAGCAAAUGUGGUGCCUUUGGAACGAAAGCCUUCGGAGGAGUUAGCGAAAUUCCAAUGUGUGCGGAUCAGCAAAAAAUGCGAAAUAGCCCUUCACCGUACAUUUGACAGAUACGCCCGCACUGACUUUUUUGUAGAUCUUAUUGAGAUACAUGUGUGUGUCAAUUUUUGUGUCAAUAUGACAAAGCGUAAAGGCGUGACAGUCAAUAGUGUGAAUUUUCGCCUUAGGAGACAAGAAAAAAUGGACUUUUUUCUCCUGCCAUGGGGGGGCGCUCUUUUGGGGAGUAAAAAUUCCUUCACAAAUGUGUUGAUGGCUGGACAUUGCAUCAUCCUAGAAAACUUGGAGGCCAGUGAGGACAAAAAUAAAAAGUUAUACGACUUUUAAGAAUGUGGAUUUCUGGGUUAUCUUUGGCGCCCCCUAGAACGUAAACCGUGGGAUGCAGCGUCAUGAUUUGUACAACUUUUAAUGGCCAUGGGGUGUAGAUUGGCCUGAGCAAAUUUGGUGCCGGUGGAACGAAAGCCUUCGGAGGAGUUAGCGAAAUUCCAAUGUGUGCGGAUCGGCAAAAAAUGCGAAAUAGCCCUUUAACCGUACAUUUGACAGAUACGCCCGCACUGACUUUUUUGUAGAUCUUAUUGAGAUACACGUGUGUGUCAAAUUUUGUGUCAUUUUGACAAAGCGUACAGGCGUGACACUCAAUCAUGUGAAUUUUUCACCUUAGGGGGCGCUAUGGAGCCAUUUUGCAUUUGAUUUUUUGGGCGACUUCAGAAUAUCGAAUUUUUCACCAGGCCCGGUCGUCCUGCCAAAUUUCAUGACUUUUCACCAGUGGGAAGUGGGCCAUUUUCCAGUUCAAAGGGGCAGAAAAAUAAUAAUAAGAAGAAGAAGAAACUAGGGCCCCGUUGGGGCACUGGCGGGCCCGAGCCGCGUCGCGCCGCCCCCAGCGCGACCGCCUCCCCGUCCCAUUCGUGCCCUCUGGCCAUCGCCCUCUCUGGUGACGCCCAUCACUGCAAAGACCCUUUUCCUUCAUUGGUGUUUGCUGUUCUUCCUGCCAUUGCGUGUUGCUUUCACUUACACUUGCCACAGCCAGCCUCGUGAGUGCCUGGCCUGGUUUGACCUUUGCUCACCCUGAUUGUGUGACCUUGGUAUCAGCUACUUGGGAAGUUCAACCGUUGUGGCAAAGCUUUGUUUGCGUGCUGUGCUCAACCACCUAUUUUCUAUGGAUGUGUAAGUAAACCACUUUCUUUCUUACACAAUGACACACUCAUACUUAUCACUCACUGCUACUGAUGUGCUCUGUUAGUAUGCAUGCAGGAAACCUGAUGAAUGAAGAAAUGCCCAGACUAGCCAACAUCUCAAUAAAUUAUGAGGUAUGACAUCACUUGAAUGGUUUCCUUGGACUAUGCUUCCAUUAUUCUAAUUCUGUAAUAAAAAGAAAUUUUGUCCAAAAGGACUGUUGUUGUUUUUUCUUCUAAUAAUUAACAUAUUUAACAUAAUUAACAUUCAAUAUGCGCUCAUUACACACGUGCACACUCUUUGAUGAUCUGAGAAGCAGAGCUUGAAGGACAGUAGGAGUAGCUGAACAAAGUGUAUUUGUAGGAAAGCCGUAAGAGCUAUUGAAACGCCGUUUUCGCGGGUUGAAAGGUUAGGGUGUCCACCAAAGGUCAGAGGUCAAAUAACAUUUGUAUCUCAAACUGUGACGUCAAAGUCAAGGUCCAAAGAUGGUGUGCGCACCUGUCUUUGGUCAUUUCCCAUUAUAAUGAAUGGGAGGCACAGUUUCUACCAAAACGCUCGCUGCAGACAAACUACAUGUCCUAUUUGAAAAAACUCUGGACCAUGAGUGAGGGCACAAACACAGCUAGGACAUAUCCAAAUGGCAAGUUGCUCCUCCUUUUGGUUUUAGCGGGAGAGCAAUGCGUUUGAGCCAUUAAGCGAUGGGCUGGAAAAACUUGACUUUUUCUCCUGCCAUGGGGGGCGCUCUUUUGGGGAGUAAAAAUUCCUUCACAAAUGUGUUGAUGGCUGGACAUUGCAUCAUCCUAGAAAACUUGGAGGCCAGUGAGGACAAAAAUAAAAAGUUAUAAGACUUUUUAAAAUGUGGAUUUUUGGGUUAUCUUUGGCGCCCCCUAGAACGUAAACCGUGGGGUGCAGCGUCAUGAUUUGAAUAACUUUUAAUGGCCAUGGGGUGUAAUUUGGCCUGAGCAAAUGUGGUGCCGGUGGAACGAAAGCCUUCGGAGGAGUUAGCGAAAUUCCAAUGUGUGCGGAUCGGCAAAAAAUGCGAAAUAACCCUUUAACCGUACAUUUGACAUAUACGCCCGCACUGACUUUUUUGUAGAUCUUAUUGAGAUACAUGUGUGUGUCAAUUUUUGUGUCAUUUUGACAAAGCGUACAGGCGUGACAGUCAAUAGUGUGAAUUUUCACCUUAGGGGGCGCUAUGGAGCCAUUUUGCAUUUUCUUGUUUGGGCGACUUCGGAAUAUCAAAUUUUUCACCAGGCCCGGUCGUCUUGCCAAAUUUCAUGAGUUUUCGCCAGUGGGAAGUGGGCCAUUUUCCAGUUCAAAGGGGAGGAAAAAUAAUAAUAAUAACAAACUAGGGCCCCGGUGGGGCACUGUCGGGCCCGAGCCGCGUCGCGCCGCCCCCAGUGCGACCGCCUCCCCGUCCCGAUCGAGUCACACUCAAGAACCAAAGAUGGUGUGCGCACUUGUCUGUGGUCAUUUCCCAUUAUAAUGAAUGGGAGGCGCAGUUUCUACCAAAACACUCGCUGCAGACAAACUUCAUGUCCUAUUUGAAAAAAGUCUGGACCAUGAGUGAGGGCACAAACACAGCUAUGAUAUAUCGAAAUGCCAGGUUGCUCCUCCUUACGGUGUUGCCUGGAGAGCGAUGCGAUUGAGCCAUUGAGCGAUGGGCAGGAAAAACUUGACUUUUUCUCCUGCCAUAGGGGGGAUGUGGAUUCUUUUAAGAAUGUGGAUUUUUGGGUCAUUUUUGGCGCCCCCUAGAACGUAAACCGUGGGGUGCAGCGUCAUGAUUUUUACAACUUUGAAUGGCCAUGGGGUGUAGAUUGGCCUGAGCAAAUUUGGUGUCAGAGGGACGAAAGCCUUAGGAGGAGUUAGCCACAUUCCAAUGUGUGCGAAUCGGCAAGAAAUGCAAAAUAGCCCUUAAACCGUACAUUUGACAGAUACGCGCGAAUUGACUUUUUUGUAGAUCUUAUUGAGAUACAUAGGUGUGUCAAUUUUUGUGUCAAUAUGAUAAAGCGUACAGGCGUGACAGUCAAUAGUGUGAAUUUCCACCUUAGGGGACAAGAAAAAAUUGACUUUUUUCUCCUGCCAUGGGGGGCGCUCUUUUGGGGAGUAAAAAUUCCUUCACAAAUGUGUUGAUGGCUGGACAUUGCAUCAUCCUAGAAAACUUGGAGGCCAGUGAGGACAAAAAUAAAAAGUUAUAAGACUUUUAAAUAUGUGGAUUUUAGGGUUAUCUUUGGCGCCCCCUAGAACCUAAACCGUGGGAUGCAGCGUCAUGAUUUGAAUAACUUUUAAUGGCCAUGGGGUGUAGAUUGGCCUGAGCAAAUGUGGUGCCGGUGGAACGAAAGCCUUCGGAGGAGUUAGCGAAAUUCCAAUGUGUGCGGAUCGGCAAAAAAUGCAGAAUAACCCUUUAACCGUACAUUUGACAGAUACGCGCGCAUUGACUUUUUCGUAGAUCUUAUUGAGAUACAUGUGUGUGUCAAUUUUUGUGUCAUUUUGCCAAAGCGUACAGGUGUUACACUCAACAAUGUGUAUUUUCACCUUAGGGGACAAGAAAAAAUUGACUUUUUUCUCCUGCCAUGGGGGGGCGCUCUUUUGGGGAGUAAAAAUUCCUUCACAAAUGUGUUGAUGGCUGGACAUUGCAUAAUCCUAGAAAACUUGGAGGCCAGUGAGGAAAAAAAAAAAAAGUUAUAAGACUUUUAAGGCUGUGGAUUUUUGGGUUAUAUUUGGCGCCAUCUAGAACCUUAACCGUGGGGUGCAGCGUCAUGAUUUGUAAUACUUUUAAUGGCCAUGGAGUGUAGAUUGGCCUGAGCAAAUGUGGUGCCAGUGGAACGAAAGCCUUCGGAGGAGUUAGCGAAAUUCCAAUGUGUGCGGAUCUGCAAAAAAUGUGAAAUAACCCUUUAACCGUAAAUUUGACAGAUAUUCCCGCACUGACUUUUUUGUAGAUCUUAUUGAGAUACAUGUGUUUGUCAAUUUUUGUGUCAAUAUGACAAAGCGUACAGGCGUGACAGUCAAUAGUGUGAAUUUUCACCUUAGGGGGCGCUAUGGAGCCAUUUUGCAUUUUAUUAUUUGGGCGACUUCAAAAUAUCGAAUUUUUCACCAGGCCUGGUCGUCCUGCCAAAUUUCAUGAGUUUUCGCCAGUGGGAAGUGGGCCAUUUUCCCCUUCAAAGAGGAGGAAAAAUAAGACUAGGGCCCCGGUGGGGCACUGUCGGGCCCGAGCCGCGUCGCGCCGCCCCCAGCGCGACCGCCUCCCCCUCCCGAUCGCGUCACACUCAAGGUCCAAAGAUGGUGUGCGCACUUGUCUGUGGUCAUUUCCCAUUAUAAUGAAUGGGAGGCGCAGUUUCUACCAAAACGCUCGCUGCAGACAAACUACAUGUCCUAUUUGAAAAAAGUCUGGACCAUGAGUGAGGGCACAAACACAGCUAGUAUAUAUCCAAAUGGCAAGUUGCUCCUCCUUUCGGUUUUGCAGAGAGAGCGAUGCGUUUGAGCCAUUGAGCGAUGGGCAGGAAAAACUUGACUUUUUCUCCUGCCAUGGGGGGGCGCUCUUUUGGGGAGAAAAAUUCCUUCACAAAUGUGUUGAUGGCUGGACAUUGCAUCAUCCUAGAAAACUUGGAGGCCAGUGAGGACAAAAAUAAAAAGUUAUAAGACUUUUAAAAAUGUGGAUAUUUGGGUCCUCUUUGGCGCCCCCUAGAACGUAAACUGUGGGGUGCAGCGUCAUGAUUUGUACAACUUUGAAUGGCCAUGGGGUGUAGAUUGACCUGAGCAAAUUUGAAGCCGAUGGGACAAAAGAUUUAGGAGGAGUUAGCGAAAUUCCAAUGUGUGCGGAUCGGCAAAAAAUGCGAAAUAACCCUUUAACCGUACAUUUGACAGAUACGCCCGCACUGACUUUUUUGUAGAUCUUAUUGAGAUACAUGUGUGUGUCAAAUUUUGUGUCAUUUUGACAAAGCGUAAAGGCGUGACAGUCAACAAUGUGUAUUUUCGCCUUAGGAGACAAGAAAAAAUGGACUUUUUUCUCCUGCCAUGGGGGGGCGCUCUUUUGGCGAGUAAAAAUUCCUUCACAAAUGUGUUGAUGGCUGGACAUUGCAUCAUCCUAGAGAACUUGGAGGCCAGUGAGGACAAAAAUAAAAAGUUAUAAGACUUUUAAGACUGUGGAUUUUUGGGUUAUCUUUGGCGCCCCCUAGAACGUAAACCGUGGGGUGCAGCGUCAUGAUUUGUACAACUUUUAAUGGCCAUGGGGUGUAGAUUGGCCUCAGCAAAUGUGGUGCCUUUGGAACGAAAGCCUUCGGAGGAGUUAGCGAAAUUCCAAUGUGUGCGGAUCGGCAAAAAAUGCGAAAUAGCCCUUUCACCGUACAUUUGACAGAUACGCCCGCACUGACUUUUUUGUAGAUCUUAUUGAGAUACAUGUGUGUGUCAAUUUUUGUGUCAAUAUGACAAAGCGUAAAGGCGUGACAGUCAAUAGUGUGAAUUUUCGCCUUAGGAGACAAGAAAAAAUGGACUUUUUUCUCCUGCCAUGGGGGGCGCUCUUUUGGGGAGUAAAAAUUCCUUCACAAAUGUGUUGAUGGCUGGACAUUGCAUCAUCCUAGAAAACUUGGAGGCCAGUGAGGACAAAAAUAAAAAGUUAUACGACUUUUAAGAAUGUGGAUUUCUGGGUUAUCUUUGGCGCCCCCUAGAACGUAAACCGUGGGAUGCAGCGUCAUGAUUUGUACAACUUUUAAUGGCCAUGGGGUGUAGAUUGGCCUGAGCAAAUUUGGUGACGGUGGAACGAAAGCCUUCGGAGGAGUUAGCGAAAUUCCAAUGUGUGCGGAUCGGCAAAAAAUGCGAAAUAGCCCUUUAACCGUACAUUUGACAGAUACGCCCGCACUGACUUUUUUGUAGAUCUUAUUGAGAUACACGUGUGUGUCAAAUUUUGUGUCAUUUUGACAAAGCGUACAGGCGUGACACUCAAUCAUGUGAAUUUUUCACCUUAGGGGGCGCUAUGGAGCCAUUUUGCAUUUGAUUUUUUGGGCGACUUCAGAAUAUCGAAUUUUUCACCAGGCCCGGUCGUCCUGCCAAAUUUCAUGACUUUUCACCAGUGGGAAGUGGGCCAUUUUCCAGUUCAAAGGGGCAGAAAAAUAAUAAGAAGAAGAAGACUAGGGCCCCGUUGGGGCACUGGCGGGCCCGAGCCAUGUCGCGCCGCCCCCAGCGCGACCGCCUACCCCUCUUGAUCGCGUCACACUCAAGGUCCAAAGAUGGUGUGCGCACUUGUCUGUGGUCAUUUACCAUUAUAAUGAAUGGGAGGCGCAGUUUCUACCAAAACGCUCGCUGCAGACAAACUCCAUGUCCUUUUUGAAAAAAGUCUGGACCAUGAGUGAGGGCACAAACACAGCUAGUAUAUAUCCAAAUGGCAAGUUGCUCCUCCUUUCGGUUUUGCCGAGAGAGCGAUGCUUUUGAGCCAUUGAGCGAUGGGCAGGAAAAACUUGACUUUUUCUCCUGCCAUGGGGGGCGCUCUUUUGGGGAGAAAAAAUUCCUUCACAAAUGUGUUGAUGGCUGGACAUUGCAUCAUCCUAGAAAACUUGGAGGCCAGUGAGGACAAAAAUAAAAAGUUAUAAGACUUUUAAAAAUGUGGAUAUUUGGGUCCUCUUUGGCACCCCCUAGAACGUAAACCGUGGGGUGCAGCGUCAUGAUUUGUACAACUUUGAAUGGCCAUGGGGUGUAGAUUGACCUGAGCAAAUUUGAAGCCGAUGGGACAAAAGCUUUAGGAGGAGUUAGCCACAUUCCAAUGUGUGCGAAUCGGCAAAAAAUGCAAAAUAGCCCUUUAACCGUACAUUGAACAGAUACGCUCGCAUUGACUUUUUCGUAGAUCUUAUUGAGAUACAUGUGUGUGUCAAAUUUUGUGUCAUUUUGACAAAGCGUAAAGGCGUGACAAUCAACAAUGUGUAUUUUCGCCUUAGGAGACAAGAAAAAAUGGACUUUUUUCUCCUGCCAUGGGGGGCGCUCUUUUGGCGAGUAAAAAUUCCUUCACAAAUGUGUUGAUGGCUGGACAUUGCAUCAUCCUAGAGAACUUGGAGGCCAGUGAGGACAAAAAUAAAAAGUUAUAAGACUUUUAAGACUGUGGAUUUUUGGGUUAUCUUUGGCGCCCCCUAGAACGUAAACCGUGGGGUGCAGUGUCAUGAUUUGUACAACUUUUAAUGGCCAUGGGGUGUAGAUUGGCCUGAGCAAAUGUGGUGCCGUUGGAACGAAAGCCUUCAGAGGAGUUAGCGAAAUUCCAAUGUGUGCGGAUCGGCAAAAAAUGCGAAAUAACCCUUUAACCGUACAUGUGACAGAUACGUCCGCACUGACUUUUUUGUAGAUCUUAUUGAGAUACAUGUGUGUGUCAAAUUUUGUGUCAUUUUGACAAAGCGUAAAGGCGUGACAGUCAACGAUGUGUAUUUUCGCCUUAGGAGACAAGAAAAAAUGGACAUUUUUCUCCUGCCAUGGGGGGGCGCUCUUUUGGCGAGUAAAAAUUCCUUCACAAAUGUGUUGAUGGCUGGACAUUGCAUCAUCCUAGAGAACUUGGAGGCCAGUGAGGACAAAAAUAAAAAGUUAUAAGACUUUUAAGACUGUGGAUUUUUGGGUUAUCUUUGGCGCCCCCUAGAACGUAAACCGUGGGGUGCAGCGUCAUGAUUUGUACAACUUUUAUUGGCCAUGGGGUGUAGAUUGGCCUGAGCAAAUGUGGUGCCGGUGGAAGGAAAACCUUCGGAGGAGUUAGCGAAAUUCCAAUGUGUGCGGAUCGGCAAAAAAUGCGAAAUAAACCUUUAACCGUACAUUUGACAGAUACGCCCGCACUGACUUUUUUGUAGAUCUUAUUGAGAUACACGUGUGUGUCAAAUUUUGUGUCAUUUUGACAAAGCGUACAGGCGUGACACUCAAUCAUGUGAAUUUUUCACCUUAGGGGGCGCUAUGGAGCCAUUUUGCAUUUGAUUUUUUGGGCGACUUCAGAAUAUCGAAUUUUUCACCAGGCCCGGUCGUCCUGCCAAAUUUCAUGACUUUUCACCAGUGGGAAGUGGGCCAUUUUCCAGUUCAAAGGGGCAGAAAAAUAAUAAGAAGAAGAAGAAGAAGAAAGAAGAAUCCAUCAGGAAUAAUAGGGCUCUCGCAGCUGCUUAGCAGCUACGCUCGGGCCCUAAAGAAAGAAGAAUCCAUCAGGAAUAAUAGGGCUCUCGCAGCUGCUUAGCAGCUACGCUCGGGCCCUAACUAGGACCCCGUUGGGGCACUGGCGGGCCCGAGCCGUGUCGCCCCCCCCCCCCCCAACUUGCUGCCUCCCCGUCCCAUUUGUGUCCUCUGGCCAUCGCCCUCUCUUGUAACGCCCAUCACUGCAAAGACCCUUUUCCUUCAUCGGCGUUUGCUGUUCUUCCUGCCAGUGCGUGUUGCUUUCACUUACACUUGCCACAGCCAGCCUUGUGAGUGCCUAGCCUAUUCGAUAUCACUGUCACCUACACAGGACAGUCAUUACCUUUCUAUUAAUACUUUGUGUUUUAAUUUCACAUUAAUUUCCAUAUUGUAUAAACGACUGGAAAAAACUUGAGCCCCUGCCCCUGUAUAAUCAUGUGCAUGUCUCUGUUCUAGCUCCAAGGUGAAUCUUCACUGCUCAUGUUCUCCUCAGAAGCACUCACCUCACUCCCCUCAGGUUACUGUACACAUGCACCAACUGCCUGCUUCAGGUUUGGAUGGAGCUUCAUGGUUGUCUUUUGGAGAAAUGACCAGUCAAGUUGUGUUUGAAAUUUGAUUUUUUUUUCAGGGGCAAAAGGAGCCUCUGCAUUCUUGUCAAAUAUGUAAAUAGCAUGUUUUUGCAGGUGCUAAAAACCAGACUCUGAGUGUGUGUGUGUGUGUGUGUGUGUGUGUGUGUGUGUGUGUGUGUGUGUGCGUGUGUGUGUGUCUGUGUGUGCGUUCAAGUCACAUGACAUAUUUAACCGGAUGUAGCUGCAAGACGGAGCCUCGUUGACUCUCCGUUUCAACUUAUCUCAAAAGUGAGGACCUCAACCUAUAUACCAGUGUUUAAAUUGUGUUGAUAGGCCAAAUAAAACCAGAGUUAUGAUAAAUUAUGUCCGCGAUACUUUUUUUCUGCUUAUUUUGAUCACGUUCGGCGCUCGAUCGCGCUGUAUGAGACAGGAAAACAUAGCAUGCAGACAUUAGCGACAGGUCUUACAGGCGGAAAAGGCUUGCCAAAAGAAAAAAAAACACACCACAACAUCUCUCCUAUUGGUGGAAAACUUCACCACAACAACCAAUCCAAAAUUAUAUGGUGACUGAUUGACAAGGGGAGGGCGCUUACGUUCUUCCUGCAACAUGAGAAGGGAGGGAGGAACUCUCAGCAGGGAUGCAGUCUGGGACACGUAGUUGCAAACCUAGCGACUUUGUUGUUAGAUUCAAUGACUUUUCAGACCCCCUAACGACUGUUUUUUAGAAAGAAAGGGACUUUUAUCGACUUCUUCUGGAGUUUAGAGACUCUGACAUGAAGCAGGCUUUCCUUACUGAGGAGUUAGCAACGCUGCUAAGGGUGCAGAGCCACACAUGCGCUCAGAGCUCUGCAUGGGAGACUGAAGCUGACAGAGCUGCAGCAGUUAGCAGGUUUCACCCUCAGAGACCACCAGGGGUUCAUGUUGAGGCAUUUUAAUUUUUUUUUUUUUUUGUGCCAUAGACACUGUCAGCACAAUCUGCAGUUACACUAACAAAAAUGCUGCAAAAAACAAAGAAUUAUGGAAAAAUUACACAUGGACUGACAUAGAGGAGGAUCUACACAAGUUUUUUACAUCAUGUUUUACAUCAUGCAUCAUUUACAUCAUGUUUUUUUGUAGUGGCAUAAAUAAAAAGUGACAUUUGUGAGACUAUACAGUGUUUUGUAAAUAAUUUUACAAAGAACGCCUGGGCCAUUGCCUGCAUUUUGAUGUAAAUAGAGGUAAAUCACUAUGUUCUUUGUUAAAAAUUUGUAUAUGUUUUGAAGUUUACAAUUUUUAUUUGAAGUUUAAGUUUUAAAAACAGUUCAUCACACAUAUUUGUGGUUUUCACAGUAAAAAUGUUACUUUUUUCCACUCGGAUUUUAUGUUUUGUGUGUGAAUUUGGGUCCAUUGUGUAAAUUCAGUAUGUCAACAUGAUAAAAUAACUGUAAAUUCGCACAGGUGAGGUUGUGCUGAAAAAAAAUGAUACCAGGCAAGGCACGUGAUUGUCAAAUUUUGUGUCAAUAUGACAAAGCGUAUAGGCGUGAAUCUCAACAAUAUGUAUUUUCACCUUAGGGGACAAGAAAAAAUGGACUUUUUUCUCCUGCCAUGGGGGGGCGCUCUUUUGGGGAGUAAAGAUUCCUUCACAAAUGUGUUGAUGGCUGGACAUUGCAUCAUCCUAGAAAACUUGGAGGCCAGUGAGGACAAAAAUAAAAAGUUAUAAGACUUUUAAAUAUGUGGAUUUUAGGGUUGUCUUUGGCGCCCCCUAGAACCUAAACCGUGGGGUGCAGCGUCAUGAUUUGAAUAACUUUUAAUGGCCAUGGGGUGUAGAUUGGCCUGAGCAAAUGUGGUGCCGGUGGAACGAAAGCCUUCGGAGGAGUUAGCGAAAUUCCAAUGUGUGCGGAUCGGCAAAAAAUGCAGAAUAACCCUUUAACCGUACAUUUGACAGAUACGCGCGCAUUGACUUUUUCGUAGAUCUUAUUGAGUUACAUGUGUGUGUCAAUUUUUGUGUCAUUUUGACAAAGCGUAUAGGCGUGACACUCAACAAUGUGUAUUUUCACCUUAGGGGACAAGAAAAAAUGGACUUUUUUCUCCUGCCAUGGGGGGGCGCUCUUUUGGGGAGUAAGAAUUCCUUCACAAAUGUGUUGAUGGCUGGUCAUUGCAUCAUCCUAGAAAACUUGGAGGCCAGUGAGGACAAAAAUAAAAAGUUAUAAGACUUUUAAAUAUGUGGAUUUUAGUGUUAUCUUUGGCGCCCCCUAGAACCUAAACCUUGGGGUGCAGCGUCAUGAUUUUGAUAACUUUUAAUGGCCACGGGGUGUAGAUUGGCCUGAGCAAAUGUGGUGCCGGUGGAACGAAAGCCUUCGGAGGAGUUAGCGAAAUUCCAAUGUGUGCGGAUCGGAAAAAAAUGCGAAAUAACCCUUUAACCGUACAUUUGACAGAUACGGCCGCACUGACUUUUUUGUAGAUCUUAUUGAGAUACAUAUGUGUGUCAAUUUUUGUGUCAAUAUGACAAAGCGUACAGGCGUGACAGUCAAUAGUGUGAAUUUCCACCUUAGGGGGCGCUAUGGAGCCAUUUUGCAUUUUAUUGUUUGGGCAACUUCAGAAUAUCGAAUUUUUCACCAGGCCCGGUCGUCCUGCCAAAUUUCAUGAGUUUUCGCCAGUGGGAAGUGGGCCAUUUUCCAGUUCAAAGGGGAGGAAAAAGAAGAAAGAAAGAACUAGGACCCCGUUGGGGCACUGGCGGGCCCGCGCCGUGUCGCCCCCCCCCCCCCCCCCAACGCGCUGCCUCCCCGUCCCAUUUGUGUCCUCUGGCCAUCGCCCUCUCUGGUAACGCCCAUCACUGCAAAGACCCUUUUCCUUCAUCGGCGUUUGCUGUUCUUCCUGCCAGUGCGUGUUGCUUUCACUUACACUUGCCACAGCCAGCCUCGUGAGUGCCUAGCCUAUUCGAUAUCACUGUCGCCUACACAGGACAGUCAUUACCUUUCUAUUAAUACUUUGUGUUUUAAUUUCACAUUAAUUUCCAUAUUGUAUAAACGACUGGAAAAAACUUGAGCCCCUGCCCCUGUAUAAUCAUGUGCAUGUCUCUGUUCUAGCUCCAAGGUGAAUCUUCACUGCUCAUGUUCUCCUCAGAAGCACUCACCUCACUCCCCUCAGGUUACUGUACACAUGCACCAACUGCCUGCUUCAGGUUUGGAUGGAGCUUCAUGGUUGUCUUUUGGAGAAAUGACCAGUCAAGUUGUGUUUGAAAUUUGAUUUUUUUCAGGGGCAAAAGGAGCCUCUGCAUUCUUGUCAAAUAUGUAAAUAGCAUGUUUUUGCAGGUGCUAAAAACCAGACUCUGAGUGUGUGUGUGUGUGUGUGUGUGUGUGUGUGUGUGUGUGUGCGUGUGUGUGUGUCUGUGUGUGCGAUCAAGUCACAUGACAUAUUUAACCGGAUGUAGCUGCAAGACGGAGCCUCGUUGACUCUCCGUUUCAACUUAUCUCAAAAGUGAGGACCUCAACCUAUAUACCAGUUUUUAAAUUGUGUUGAUAGGCCAAAUAAAACCAGAGUUAUGAUAAAUUAUGUCCGCGAUACUUUUUUUCUGCUUAUUUUGAUCACGUUCGGCGCUCAAUCGCGCUGUAUGAGACAGGAAAACAUAGCAUGCAGACAUUAGCGACAGGUCUUACAGGCGGAAAAGGCUUGCCAAAAGAAAAAAAAAACACACCACAACAUCUCUCCUAUUGGUGGAAAACUUCACCACAACAACCAAUCCAAAAUUAUAUGGUGACUGAUUGACAAGGGGAGGGCGCUUACGUUCUUCCUGCAACAUGAGAAGGGAGGGAGGGACUCUCAGCAGGGAUGCAGUCUGGGACACGUAGUUGCAAACCUAGCGACUUUGUUGUUAGAUUCAAUGACUUUUCAGACCCCCUAACGACUUUUUUUUUAGAAAGAAAGGGACUUUUAUCGACUUCUUCUGGAGUUUAGAUACUCUGACAUGAAGCAGGCUUUCCUUACUGAGGAGUUAGCAACGCUGCUAAGGGUGCAGAGCCACACAUGCGCUCAGAGCUCUGCAUGGGAGACUGAAGCUGACAGAGCUGCAGCAGUUAGCAGGUUUCACCCUCAGAGACCACCAGGGGUUCAUGUUGAGGCAUUUUAAUUUUUUUUUUUUUUUUGUGCCAUAGACACUGUCAGCACAAUCUGCAGUUACACUAACAAAAAUGCUGCAAAAAACAAAGAAUUAUGGAAAAAUUACACAUGGACUGACAUAGAGGAGGAUCUACACAAGUUUUUUACAUCAUGUUUUACAUCAUGCAUCAUUUACAUCAUGUUUUUUUGUAGUGGCAUAAAUAAAAAGUGACAUUUGUGAGACUAUACAGUGUUUUGUAAAUAAUUUUACAAAGAACGCCUGGGCCAUUGCCUGCAUUUUGAUGUAAAUAGAGGUAAAUUACUAUGUUCUUUGUUAAAAAUUUGCAUAUGUUUUGAAGUUUACAAUUUUUAUUUGAAGUUUAAGUUUUAAAAACAGUUCAUCACACAUAUUUGUGGUUUAAUUUCACAUUAAUUUCCAUAUUGUAUAAAUGACUGGAAAAAACUUGAGCCCCUGCCCCUGUAUAAUCAUGUGCACGUCCCUGUUCUAGCUCCAAGGUGAAUCUUCACUGCUCAUGUUCUCCUCAGAAAUAGUCACCUCACUCCCCUCAGGUUACUGUACACAUGCACCAACUAUCUGCUUCAGGUUUGAAAUGGAGCUUCAUGGUUGUCUUUUGGAGAAAUGAACAGUCAAGUUGUGUUUGAAAUUUGAUUUUUUUUCAGGGGCAAAAGGAAGCCUCUGCAUUCUUGUCAAAUAUGUAAACAGCAUGUUUUUGCAGGUGCUAAAAAACAGACUCUGAGUGUGUGUGUGUGUGUGUGUGUCUGUGUGUGUGUGUGUGUGUGUGUGUGUGUGUGUGUGUUGGCGUGUGUGUAUAUGUGUGUGUAUCCUGCAGUACUCUGUACUCCUGCAGUGGCCAAAAAGACUUUUAAGAAUGUGGAUUUUUGGGUCAUCUUUGGCGCCCCCUAGAACUGCAGUACUCUGUACUCCUGCAGUGGCCAAAAUGACUUUUAAGAAUGUGGAUUUUUGGGUCAUCUUUGGCGCCCCCUAGAACGUAAACCGUGGGGUGCAGCGUCAUGAUUUUUACAACUUUGAAUGGGCAUGGGGUGUAGAUUGCCCUGAGCAAAUUUGGUAUCGGUGGGACGAAAGCCUUAGGAGGAGAUAGCCACAUUCCAAUGUGUGCGAAUCGGCAAAAAAUGCAAAAUAGCCCUUUAACCGUACAUUAUACAGAUACGCGCUCUUUGACUUUUUCGUAGAUCUAAUUGAGAUACACAUGAUUGUCAAUUUUUGUGUCAUUUUGACAAAGCGUUCAGGCGUGACACUCAACAAUGUGUAUUUUUAUGUAAGGGGACAAGAAAAAAUUGACUUUUUUCUCCUACCAUGGGGGGGCGCUCUUUUGGGGAGUAAAAAUUCCUUCACAAAUGUGUUGAUGGCUGGACAUUGCAUCAUCCUAGAAAACUUGGAGGCCAGUGAGGACAAAAAUAAAAAGUUAUAAAACAUUUAAGAAUGUGGAUUUUUGGGUUAUUUUUGGCGCCCCCUAGAACCUAAACCAUGGGGUGCAGCAUCAUGAUUUGAAUAACUUUUAAUGGCCAUGGGGUGUAGAUUGGCCUGAGCAAAUGUGGUGCCGGUGGAACGAAAGCCUUCGGAGGAGUUAGCGAAAUUCCAAUGUGUGCGGAUCGGCAAAAAAUGCGGAAUAACCCUUUAACCGUACAUUUGACAGAUACGCGCGCAUUGACUUUUUCGUAGAUCUUAUUGAGAUACAUGUGUGUGUCAAUUUUUGUGUCAUUUUGCCAAAGCGUACAGGUGUUACACUCAACAAUGUGUAUUUUCACCUUAGGGGACAAGAAAAAAUGGACUUUUUUCUCCUGCCAUGGGGGGCGCUCUUUUGGGGAGUAAAAAUUCCUUCACAAAUGUGUUGAUGGCUGGACAUUGCAUCAUCCUAGAAAACUUGGAGGCCAGUGAGGGCAAAAAUAAAAAGUUAUAAGACUUUUAAAUAUGUGGAUCUUAGGGUUAUCUUUGGCGCCCCCUAGAACCUAAACCGUGGGGUGCAGCGUCAUGAUUUGAAUAACUUUUAAUGGCCAUGGGGUGUAGAUUGGCCUGAGCAAAUGUGGUGCCGGUGGAACGAAAGCCUUCGGAGGAGUUAGCGAAAUUCCAAUGUGUGCGGAUCGGCAAAAAAUGCGAAAUAACCCUUUAACCGUACAUUUGACAGAUACCCCGCACUGACUUUUUUGUAGAUCUUAUUGAGAUACAUGUGUGUGUCAAUUUUUGUGUCAUUUUGACAAAGCGUACAGGCGUGACAGUGAAUAGUGUGAAUUUUCACCUUAGGGGGCGCUAUGGAGCCAUUUUGCAUUUUCUUGUUUGGGCGACUUCGGAAUAUCAAAUUUUUCACCAGGCCCGGUCGUCCUGCCAAAUUUCAUGAGUUUUCGCCAGUGGGAAGUGGGCCAUUUUCCAGUUCAAAGGGGAGGAAAAAUAAUAAUAACAAACUAGGGCCCCGUUGGGGCACUGGCGGGCCCGAGCCGCGUUGCGCCGCCCCCAGUGCGACCGCCUCCCCCUCCCGAUCGCGUCACACUCAAGGUCCAAAGAUGGUGUGCGCACUUGUCUGUGGUCAUUUCCCAUUAUAAUGAAUGGGAGGCGCAGUUUCUACCAAAACACUCGCUGCAGACAAACUACAUGUCCUAUUUGAAAAAAGUCUGGACCAUGAGUGAGGGCACAAACACAGCUAGGAUAUAUCCAAACGGCAAGUUGCUCCUAGUUACGGUGUUGCCGGGAGAGCGAUGCGAUUGAGCCAUUGAGUGAUGGGCAGGAAAAACUUGACUGUUUCUCCUGCCAUGGGGGAUGGGGGAUGGGGGGGGGGGGUGUGGAUUCUUUUAAGAAUGUGGAUAUUUGGGUCAUCUUUGGCGCCCCCUAGAACGUAAACCGUGGGGUGCAGCGUCAUGAUUUUUAAAACUUUGAAUGGCCAUGGGGUGUAGAUUGGCCUGAGCAAAUUUGGUGUCAGUGGGACGAAAGCCUUAGGAGGAGUUAGCCACAUUCCAAUGUGUGCUAAUCGGCAAAAAAUGCAAAAUAGCCCUUUAACCGUACGUUUUACAGAUACGCGCGCAUUGACUUUUUCGUAGAUCUUAUUGGGAUACAUGUGUGUGUCAAAUUUUGUGUCAAUAUGACAAAGCAUACAGGUAUGACAGUCAACAAUGUGUAUUUUCACCUUAUGGGACAAGAAAAAAUGGACUUUUUUCUCCUGCCAUGGGGGGGCGCUCUUUUGGGGAGUAAAAAUUCCUUCACAAAUGUGUUGAUGGCUGGACAUUGCAUCAUCCUAGAAAACUUGGAGGCCAGAGAGGACAAAAAUAAAAAGUUAUAAGACUUUUAAAUAUGUGGAUUUUAGGGUUAUCUUUGGCGCCCCCUAGAACCUAAACCGUGGGGUGCAGCGUCAUGAUUUGAAUAACUUUUAAUGGCCAUGGGGUGUAGAUUGGCCUGAGCAAAUGUGGUGCCAGUGGAACGAAAGCCUUCGGAGGAGUUAGCGAAAUUCCAAUGUGUGCGGAUCGGCAAAAAAUGCGCAAUAACCCUUUAACCGUACAUUUGACAGAUACGCCAGCACUGACUUUUUUGUAGAUCUUUUGUAGAUCUUAUUGAGAUACAUGUGUGUGUCAAUUUUUGUGUAAUUUUGACAAAGCGUACAGGCGUGACAGUCAAUAGUGUGAAUUUUCACCUUAUGGGACAAGAAAAAAUGGACUUUUUUCUCCUGCCAUGGGGGGGCGCUCUUUUGGGGAGUAAAAAUUCCUUCACAAAUGUGUUGAUGGCUGGACAUUGCAUCAUCCUAGAAAACUUGGAGGCCAGUGAGGGCAAAAAUAAAAAGUUAUAAGACUUUUAAAUAUGUGGAUUUUAGGGUUAUCUUUGGCGCCCCCUAGAACCUAAACCGUGGGGUGCAGUGUCAUGAUUUGAAUAACUUUUAAUGGCCAUGGGGUGUAGAUUGGCCUGAGCAAAUGUGGUGCCGGUGGAACGAAAGCCUUCGGAGGAGUUAGCGAAAUUCCAAUGUGUGCGGAUCGGCAAAAAAUGCGCAAUAACCCUUUAACCGUACAUUUGACAGAUACGCCCGCACUGACUUUUUUGUAGAUCUUAUUGAGAUACAUGUGUGUGUCAAUUUUUGUGUCAUUUUGACAAAGCGUACAGGCGUGACAGUCAAUAGUGUGAAUUUUCACCUUAGGGGGCGCUAUGGAGCCAUUUUGCAUUUUCUUGUUUGGGCGACUUCGGAAUAUCAAAUUUUUCACCAGGCCCGGUCGUCCUGCCAAAUUUCAUGAGUUUUCGCCAGUGGGAAGUGGGCCAUUUUCCAGUUCAAAGGGGAGGAAAAAUAAUAACUAGGGCCCCGUUGGGGCACUGGCGGGCCCGAGCUGUGUCGCGCCCCCCCCCCAACGCGCUGCCUCCCCGUCCCAUUCGCGUCCUCUGGCCAUCGUCCUCUCUGGUAACGCCCAUCACUGCAAAGACCCUUCUCCUUCAUCGGCGUUUGCUGUUCUUCCUGCCAGUGCGUGUUGCUUUCACUUACACUUGCCACAGCCAGCCUCGUGAGUGCCUAGCCUAUUGGAUAUCACUGUCACCUACACAGGACAGUCAUUACCUUUCUAUUAAUACUUUGUUUUUUAAUUUCACAUUAAUUUCCAUAUCGUAUAAACGACUGGAAAAAACUUGAGCCCCUGCCCCUGUAUAAUCAUGUGCACGUCCCUGUCCUCGCUCCAAGGUGAAUCUUCACUGCUCAUGUUCUCCUCAGAAGCACUCACCUCACUCCCCUCAGGUUACUGUACACAUGCACCAACUGCCUGCUUCAGGUUUGGAUGGAGCUUCAUGGUUGUCUUUUGGAGAAAUGAGCAGUCAAGUUGUGUUAGAAAUUAGAUUUUUUUCAGGGGCAAAAGGAAGCCUCUGCAUUCUUGUCAAAUAUGUAAAUAGCAUGUUUUUGCAGGUGCUAAAAAACAGACUCUGAGUGUGUGUGUGUGUGUGUGUGUGUGUGUGUGUGUGUGUGUGUGUGUGUGUGUGCGUGUGUUUGUGUGUCUGUGUGUGUGUGUGUCUGUGUGUGUGUAUCCUGCAGUACUCUGUACUCCUGCAGUGGCCAAAACGACUUUUAAGAAUGUGGAUAUUUGGGUCAUCUUUGGCGCCCCCUAGAACGUAAACCAUGGGGUGCAGCGGCAUGAUUUUUACAACUUUUAAUGGCCAUGGGGUGUAGAUUGGCCUGAGCAAAUUUGGUGUCAGUGGGACGAAAGCCUUAGGAGGAGUUAGCCACAUUCCAAUGUGUGCGAAUCGGCAAAAAAUGCAAAAUAGCCCUUUAGCCGUACAUUUUACAGAUACGCGCGCAUUGACUUUUUCGUAGAUCUUAUUGAGAUACACGUGUGUGUCAAAUUUUUUUUUCAAUAUGACAAAGCGUACAGGCAUGACACUCAACAAUGUGUAUUUUCGUCUUAGGGGACAAGAAAAAAUGGACUUUUUUCUCCUGCCAUGGGGGGGCGCUCUUUUGGCGAGUAAAAAUUCCUUCACAAAUGUGUUAAUUGCUGGACAUUGCAUCAUCCUAGAGAACUUGGAGGCCAGUGUGGACAAAAAUAAAAAGUUAUAAGACUUUUAAGACUGUGGAUUUUUGGGUUAUCUUUGGCGCCCCCUAGAACGUAAACCGUGGGGUGCAGCGUCAUGAUUUGUACAACUUUGAAUGGCCAUGGGGUGUAGAUUGGCCUGAGCAAAUGUGGUGCCGGUGGAACGAAAGCCUUCGGAGGAGUUAGCGAAAUUCCAAUGUGUGCGGAUCGGCAAAAAAUGCGAAAUAACCCUUUAACCGUACAUUUUACAGAUACGCCCGCAUUGACUUUUUUGUAGAUCUUAUUGAGAUACAUGUGUGUGUCAAAUUUUUGUGUCAAUAUGACAAAGCGUACAGGCGUGACAGUCAAUAGUGUGAAUUUUCACCUUAGGGGGCGCUAUGGAGCCAUUUUGCAUUUUAUUGUUUGGGCGACUUCAGAAUAUCGAAUUUUUCACCAGGCCCGGUCGUCCUGCCAAAUUUCAUGAGUUUUCGCCAGUGGGAAGUGGGCCAUUUUCCAGUUUAAAGCGGAGGAAAAAUAAUAAUAAUAACAAAAGAAGAAUCCAUCAGGAACAAGAGGGCUCUCGCAGCUGCUUAGCAGCUACGCUCGGGCCCUAAUAACAAAAGAAGGAAACUACAGGAACAAGAGGGCUCUCGCAGCUGCUUAGCAGCUACGCUCGGGCCCUAAAGAAGGAAACUACAGGAACAAGAGGGCUCUCGCAGCUGCUUAGCAGCUACGCUCGGGCCCUAACUAGGACCCCGGUGGGGCACUGUCGGGCCCGAGCCGCGUUGCGCCGCCCCCAGCGCGACCGCCUCCCCCUCCCGAUCGCGUCACACUCAAGGUCCAAAGAUGGUGUGCGCACUUGUCUGUGGUCAUUUCCCAUUAUAAUGAAUGGGAGGCGCAGUUUCUACUAAAACACUCGCUGCAGACAAACUAUAUGUCCUAUUUGAAAAAAGUCUGGACCAUGAGUGAGGGCACAAACACAGCUAGGAUAUAUCCAAACGGCAAGUUGCUCCUCGUUACGGUGUUGCCGGGAGAGUGAUGCGAUUGAGCCAUUGAGUGAUGGGCAGGAAAAACUUGACUGUUUCUCCUGCCAUGGGGGAUGGGGGAUGGGGGGGAUGUGGAUUCUUUUAAGAAUGUGGAUAUUUGGGUCAUCUUUGGCGCCCCCUAGAACGUAAACCGUGGGGUGCAGCGUCAUGAUUUUUAAAACUUUGAAUGGCCAUGGGGUGUAGAUUGGCCUGAGCAAAUUUGGUGUCAGUGGGACGAAAGCCUUAGGAGGAGUUAGCCACAUUCCAAUGUGUGCGAAUCGGCAAAAAAUGCAAAAUAGCCCUUUAACCGUACAUUUUACAGAUACGCGCGCAUUGACUUUUUCGUAGAUCUUAUUGAGAUACAUGUGAUUGUCAAAUUUUGUGUUAAUAUGACAAAGCGUACAGGUAUGACAGUCAACAAUGUGUUUUUUCACCUUAUGGGACAAGAAAAAAUGGACUUUCUUCUCCUGCCAUGGGGGGGCGCUCUUUUGGGGAGUAAAAAUUCCUUCACAAAUGUGUUGAUGGCU